AGAGUUUGAUUCUGGCUCAGAUUGAACGCUGGCGGCAUGUUUAACACAUGCAAGUCGAAUGGUAAUAGGGCUAGCUUGCUAGCCGUUGAUGAGUGGCGGAUGGGUGAGUAAUGUAUGGGAAUUUGCCCUAUAGUGGGGGAUAACCUGGGGAAAUCCAGGCUAAUACCGCAUAAUCUCUAUGGAGGAAAGGCUUUGGCCGCUAUUGGAUGAGCCCAUGUCGGAUUAGCUAGUUGGUAGGGUAAGAGCCUACCAAGGUGAUGAUUUGUAGCUGGUCUGAGAGGAUGAUCAGCCACACUGGGAUUGAGAUAUGGCCCAGAUUUUUACGGGAGGCAGCAGUGGGAAUAUUGGAUAAUGGGCGAAAGCCUGAUCCAGCAAUGCCGCGUGUGUGAAGAAGGCCUGUGGGUUGUAAAGCACUUUUAGAGGGGAGGAUAGUGAUGUUACCCUCAGAAGAAGCACCGGUUAACUCCGUGCCAGCAGUUGCGGUAAUAUGGAGGGUGCAAGCGUUAAUCGGAAUUACUGGGCGUAAAGCGCGCGUAGGCGGCGUAUUAAGUCGGAUGUGAAAGUCCCGGGUUUAACCUGGGAAUUGCAUUCGAUAUUGGUAUGCUCGAGUGUGGUAGAGGGGUGUGGAAUUUCAGGUGUAGCGGUGAAAUGCGUAGAUAUCUGGAGGAAUAUUAGUGGUGAAGGUGGCACCCUGGACCAAUACUGAUGCUGAGGUGCGAAAGCGUGGGUAGUAAAUAGGAUUAGAUAUCCUGGUAGUCCACGCUGUAAAUGAUGAGAACUAGCCGUUGGGGAGAUUAAACUUUUUAGUGGUGUAGUUAAUGUGUUAAGUUCUCCGCCUGGGGAGUAUGGUUGUAAGAUUAAAACUCAAAGGAAUUGACGGGGGCCCGCACAAGCGGUGGAGCAUGUGGUUUAAUUUGAUGCAAUGUGAAGAAUCUUACCAGCCCUUGAUAUGUAGCGAACUUUCCAGAGAUGGAUAGUGCCUUUGGGAACGCUAACACAGGUGCUGUAUGGCUGUCGUCAGCUCGUGUUGUGAGAUGUUGGGUUAAGUCCCGUAACGAGCGUAACCCUUGUCCUUAGUUGCCAGCAUUUUGGGUGGGAAUUCUAAGGAGACUGCCGGUGAUAAACCGGAGGAAGGUGGGGAUGACGUUAAGUCAUUAUGGCCCUUAUGGGCUGGGCUACACACGUGCUACAAUGGUUGGUAUAAAGGGUUGCCAAGCCGUGAGGUGGAGCUAAUCCCAGAAAACCGUUUGUAGUCCGGAUUGGAGUCUGUAAUUUGACUCCAUGAAGUCGGAAUCGUUAGUAAUCGCAGGUUAGUAUACUGCGGUGAAUACGUUCCCGGGCCUUGUAUAUACCGCCCGUCACACCAUGGGAGUUGGUUGUACCAGAAGUGGCUAGUCUAACCUUUGGGAGGACGGUCACCAUGGUAUGGUCAAUGACUGGGGUGAAGUUGUAAUAAGGUA
rnacentral:rRNA from 1 species